rnacentral:rRNA from 1 species
GAUGAACGCUAGCUACAGGCUUAACACAUGCAAGUCGCGGGGCAGCAUGGGGGUUGCUUGCAAUCCCCGAUGGCGACCGGCGCACGGGUGAGUAACGCGUAUCCAACCUGCCCUUCACCACGGGAUAACCCGGCGAAAGUCGGACUAAUACCGUAUGUUGUCCAUUGACGGCAUCCGAUUUGGACGAAAGGUUUGGCGGUGAAGGAUGGGGAUGCGUCCGAUUAGCUGGACGGCGGGGUGACGGCCCACCGGGGCGACGAUCGGUAGGGGUGCUGAGAGGAAGGUCCCCCACACUGGAACUGAGACACGGUCCAGACUCCUACGGGAGGCAGCAGUGAGGAAUAUUGGUCAAUGGGCGUAAGCCUGAACCAGCCAAGUAGCGUGCAGGAGGACGGCCCUAUGGGUUGUAAACUGCUUUUAUGCGGGGAUAAAGUGGCCCACGUGUGGGUCUUUGCAGGUACCGCAUGAAUAAGGACCGGCUAAUUCCGUG